ACUGCUCGUUAUGGAGGACAAGGAAGAAACUAGUUCGGCCGUUUGAAGGGAAUGGGAAUGGGAAUUGAAUGAAGAAAGAAUGGAUUGAAGUAGUCAAUUGAUUAAAAACUCAUAUUUUUUUGUGUUACUCAUUGACCUUUAUGAAGACAACAAUUCUGGGUUUCCAUUGCUUACAGUGUGUUUCCAUAGAGCAAAGUUCUUUUUUGAUGGCUUUGUUUUUACGUUGCAUUACUGUGUUAUUCCUCACUCUCUGUAUGUGAGUCUCGCGCUGUUUCAGCUGCUUCCUCCUGCUUCCUUCGGUUCCUUUUCCUUUCUUAUCGGACGGUGGCCCGCCAAAAUUAAUUUCGCCUACAUAAAAAGUGACGCAAUAGAAACUCUCGGAACCAGUAUGGACUUGAGGAUGAGCGCAUCCCGGACCUUGAAAGGAUCCUCGUCGAUGGUUGAUUCGUCAGCUCAUUCACAUAAGGUUUCUCUAGAAGGUGAAUUAGGGUUCUUUCA